AAAAAAAGAUAUUCUAGAUCCAAAAGUUGAAAGAUGACAUGGUUAUUUUAAGAAAAACCAGUUCGCCCCUCGGAGCUGGAAAUACAGCAGCUGGGAUCGUCAGAUGCUGCGGAGCUGGAGGCGGAGGCCGCUGGGGAGGUCCGAGCGAUGUGACCAGGCCACAAACGCUCGUCUCCUCUUCUCUCCUGCCGCCUCCUGUCUUGAAAAUAAUUUUUUAGGCUAAAGAAAGAAAACAAAAAAGCCAUCCGCUCCUCACACCCUCUCUUCCUGUCAGCCUUCCUCUGGGUGAGGAAGUCCAGGGUGGCCUCUCCGCUGUCGGGGCCGCGCCGCCGAGCCCCAGCCGCCCCGGGCCGCCCCCACCUGCCGCCCCCAUGCAUCCCUUCUACACCCGGGCUGCCACCAUGAUAGGCGAGAUUGCUGCCGCCGUGUCCUUCAUCUCCAAGUUCCUCCGCACCAAGGGGCUCACGAGCGAGCGACAGCUGCAGACCUUCAGCCAGAGCCUGCAGGAGCUGCUGACAGAACAUUAUAAACAUCACUGGUUCCCAGAAGAGCCAUGCAAGGGAUCGGGUUACCGUUGUAUUCGCAUCAACCAUAAAAUGGAUCCUCUGAUUGGACAGGCAGCACAGCAGAUUGGACUGAGCAGUCAGGAGCUGUUCAGGCUUCUCCCAAGUGAACUCACACUCUGGGGUUGACCGUUACGAAGUGUCCUACAGAAUUGGAGAGGAUGGCUCCAUCUGUGUGCUGUAUGAAGCCUCACCAGCAGGAGGUAGCACUCAAAACGGCACCAACAUGCAAAUGGUAGCCGAAUCAGCUAUAAGGAGGAACUUCUCUUGGGCAGAACGAGCCCUUCCAAAAACUACAAUAUCAGGUUAAGAUAUAGUCUGUAUCAGGUUAAGAUAUAGUCUAUGGAUGGAUCAUCUUAUAAUGAUGGAUAAAGUUGAUUUUUGCUUUCGGUGGGCUCCUCUUGGGGAUGGAUUAUGGAAUUUAAACCAUGUCACAGCUGUGAAGAUCUGGCACAAGAUAGAGUGGUAAAAAAAAAUUUUAAGUGACGGUGCCAUAGUUUGGACAGUACCUUUCAAUGAUUAAUUUUAAUAGCCUGUGAGUCCAAGUAAAUGAUCACUUUAUUUGCGAGGGAAGGAAGUCCUAGGGUGGUUUCAGUUUCUCCCAGACAUACCUAAAUUUGUACAUCAAUCCCUUUAAAGAAAAUCUGUAUUUCAAAUAAUUUUUCUCUGCAGUAAAUCUUGCAGAGGAAUUUGCACUAUUACACUUGAAAAUUGUUACUGUUAACCUUUUUGGCAGCUCAAUAGGAAAGCUAACAUUUCAAACACUGUAGUACUGGAAAUUUUACAAGACUUUUACCUAGCACUUAAAUAUGUAUAAAUGUACAUAAAGACAAACUAGUAAGCAUGACCUGGGGAAAUGGUCAGACCUUGUAUUGUGUUUUUGGCCUUGAAAGUAGCAAGUGACCAGAAUCUACCAUGGCAACAGCCUUUUAAAAAGACCUUUAAAAAGACACUGUCUCAAUUGUGGUGUUAGCACCAGCCAGCUCUCUGUACAUUUGCUAGCUUGUAGUUUUCUAAGACUGAGUAAACUUCUUAUUUUUAGAAAGUGGAGGUCUGAUUUGUAACUUUCCUUGUACUUAAUUGGGUAAAAGUCUUUUCCACAAACCACCAUCUAUUUUGUGAACUUUGUUAGUCAUCUUUUAUUUGGUAAAUUAUGAACUGGUGUAAAUUUGUACAGUUCAUGUAUAUUGAUUGUGGCAAAGUUGUACAGAUUUCUAUAUUUUGGAUGAUAAAUUUUUCUUCUCUCUAUAAUUGUUUCUUAU